AUAUUUUUCUAUAUAUUUUUUCUAUAUAUUUUUCUAUAUAUUUUUUUUGUAGAUAUUUUUUCUAUAUAUUUUUCUAUAUAUUUUUUCUAUAUAUUUUACUAUACAUUUUUUUCUAUAUAUUUUUCUAUAUAUUUUUUCUAUAUAUUUUACUAUACAUUUUUUCUAUAUAUCUUUCUAUAUAUUUUUCUAUAUUUUUUCUAUAUAUUUUACUAUACAUUUUUUCUAUAUAUUUUUCUAUAUAUUUUUUCUAUAUAUUUUUCUAUAUAUUUUUUCUUUCUAUAUAUUUUUCUAUAUAUUUUUUCUAUAUAUUUUUCUAUAUAUUUUUUCUAUAUAUUUUACUAUAUAUUUUUUCUAUAUAUUUUUCUAUAUAUUUUUUCUAUAUAUUUUUCUAUAUAUUUUUUCUAUAUAUUUUACUAUACAUUUAGUCUCUGCCGUUUCAUUAUUUUCCUCCGAUUCACAAGAGGCUGAAUGUAUCCCACAUGAGAAGAGAUCCGAGUCAGCGAAACAGCGCCCCUCUGUCUCUCUACGUGUUGGCUCUAUCUAUCUGCUGCUGUCUGGUCAGAAGGAGGAUGACAUUGUUGCCGCCCGUAGUGUUGAAGGCAAAGGGCAGACAGUGGAGGUCGGUGCCGUUCAAAGAUGAGGGAGGACGGUUAUUUAUUCAUGAGCAUGACCUUAUUUAUAUUACAGCAUACUGGAUGAUUCACAUUCGUCCAGUUCAAUGUAACAGUGACAGGUUUAGGUUACUGUCAUUCAUAUUCACCCAGUUCAAUGUAACAGUGAUAGGUUUAGGUUACUGUCAUUCAUAUUCACCCAGUUCAAUGUAACAGUGACAGGUUUAGGUUACUGUCAUUCACAUUCACCCAGUUCAAUGUAACAGUGACAGGUUUAGGUUACUACAUGAUACUAGAAUGUUCCCUGUACCCAUCAUGAGGUUGCUACAGCCUAGCCUAUGAAUUCAAGUUUACAACGUAGGCACACAGGUCGAGAGAUACAUUUGAGGUGACAGACCGUGACAUUCAAUAUCGCCUUGCACACGCUUGCCUGCAUCUAGCUGAUCUAGGGUGUAGUCAUUAGU
ensembl:lncRNA